ensembl:snoRNA Gm24257 small nucleolar RNA SNORA17
CCUGUCCCUAGAGGCAUUGCAGGUAUGACUACUGUGUCACAUGUAUGUCAAUAGGUGGUAGAGAGGGAAAGGCCAUGUCUACACUCAGUGUCCUGACCUGGGAACAUGUGAAUGAUUAGCAACCAAACACU